CGCCGGUUAGUGAGGACUCGGUGGGCUGAAGUACCUGUUUCCUUGCUGUAUCUCUAAAGUCUAAAGCACUUUUAACAAUUUUAUAAGAAUCAAUGGGAUUGGUCUUUAUUCUAGAGGAUUCAUAUAAUUGGCCUUGAACAGUGGCACCAAAUCUCUUUAUGAAACUGCUAGAAUGUAGGCAUUGAAGAUAUUCCUACAGAGAUGUUAGGUAAAGCAUUUCAGGAUUUUAUCAUUGAACACUGUAAUAGUAUGUUUUCAAGUUGAAUAUAGCUGAUCCUCAUCUGAUGUCAGGAAUCCUGAGAAGAUGGGCCAGAUGAUCUUUGCACGCAAUCCUUCAUCUUGCAAUCAGACAUUCUCUUCAAGUGCUAACCAGUUAAUCUGAAUCUGCCACAGCAGGAGAGAUGCUCACAAGUUGAGGAAGAUGCAUAGAUAUUUUAAUGCAGCAGUGCUCAUUGUUUCUACCUUCAAGCUAAGAGCUCUAUCUGGUCUCUGCAGUAAUAAUGUUGAAAUGGUCAGGAUUUCAGAUUAAUCCUCCAGGCACCAUAAU